GAAAUGCGAUAAGUAAUGUGAAUUGCAGAAUUCAGUGAAUCAUCGAAUCUUUGAACGCACCUUGCGCUCCUUGGUAUUCCUUGGAGCAUGCCUGUUUGAGUAUCAUGAAAUCUUCAAAGUAAAUAUUUUGUUAACUCAAUUGGUUUCUACUUUGGUAUUGGAGGUCUUUGCAGCUUCACACCUGCUCCUCUUUGUUCAUUAGCUGGAUCUCAGUGUUAUGCUUGGUUCCACUCGGCGUGAUAAGUUAUCUAUCGCUGAGGACACUGUAAAAGGUGGCCAAGGUAAAUGCAGAUGAACCGCUUCUAAUAGUCCAUUGACUUGGACAAUACUUUUAUGAUCUGAUCUCAAAUCAGGUAGGACUACCCGCUGAACUUAAGC
rnacentral:misc_RNA from 1 species